GCGGACGUGGUGGAACUGGCAGACACGCGAGGUUUAGGUCCUCGUGCCCGAGAGGGUGUGCGGGUUCGAGCCCCGCCGUCCGCA
rnacentral:tRNA from 1 species